UACGUAGGGUGCAAGCGUUGUCCGGAAUUAUUGGGCGUAAAGAGCUCGUAGGCGGUUUGUCGCGUCUGGUGUGAAAAUCCAGGGCUUAACCCUGGACCUGCAUCGGGUACGGGCAGACUAGAGUGCGGUAGGGGAGAUCGGAACAAAUGGUGGAGCGGUGAAAUGCGUAGAUAUCAGGAAGAACACCUAUGGCGAAGGCAGCACUCUGGGACGGUACUGACGCUGAGACGCGAAAGCGUGGGGAGCGAACAGG
rnacentral:rRNA from 1 species